AUCUGGUUGAUCCUGCCAGUAGUCAUAUGCUUGUCUCAGAGAUUAAGCCAUGCAUGUCUAAGUACAUACCUUUAAACGGUGAAACCGCGAAUGGCUCAUUAAAUCAGCUNAACCAACCGGGGGCGGCUUCGGUCGUCCCUGUUGCAUUCUGUGAUGACUCUGGAUAACUUCACUGAUCGCAGUCGGCCUUGUGUCGGCGACGGAUCUUUCAAAUGUCUGCCCUAUCAAUUUUCGAUGGUAGGUGACCUGCCUACCAUGGUGCUAACGGGUAACGGGGAAUCAGGGUUCGAUUCCGGAGAGGGAGCCUGAGAAACGGCUACCACUUCCAAGGAAGGCAGCAGGCACGCAAAUUACCCAAUCCCGGCACGGGGAGGUAGUGACGAAAAAUACGGAUACGGGACUCACUAGAGGCUCCGUAAUUCGAAUGAGUACAAUUUAAAUCCUUUAACGAGGAUCAACUGGAGGGCAAGUCUGGUGCCAGCAGCCGCGGUAACUCCAGCUCCAGAAGCGUAUAUUAAAGUUGUUGCAGUUAAAAAGCUCGUAGUUGGAUCUGGGUCGCAUGGCUACAUGCCGUCGCUCGUGGGUCUGGCCUGGUUACUGCCGGGUUGAGCUUGCGAGUCGGUCUCGUGGUUGUGCUUCCUUUCUGCUGUGUCUGUUUACAGGUGUCAGCGUGACUGGUGGGCUUGCCUGCUAGUCUGUUGGCAUGCUUCUUGGUGCCUUUAAUCGGGUGUCGGAGGCGGACAGCACGUUUACUUUGAACAAAUUUGAGUGCUCAAAGCAGGCCUUUGUGCCUGAAAAUUCUUGCAUGGAAUAAUGGAAUAGGACUUCGGUUCUAUUUUGUUGGUUUUCGGAUCCGAAGUAAUGGUUAAGAGGGACAGACGGGGGCAUUUGUAUGGCGGUGUUAGAGGUGAAAUUCUUGGAUCGCCGCCAGACAAACUACAGCGAAAGCAUUUGCCAAGGAUGUUUUCAUUGAUCUUGAGCGAAAGUCAGAGGUUCGAAGACGAUCAGAUACCGUCCUAGUUCUGACCAUAAACGAUGCCAACUGACGAUCCGUGGUGGUUCUUUAUGUGUCCCCACGGGCAGUCCCCGGGAAACCCUUAAGUCUUUGGGCUCCGGGGGAAGUAUGGUUGCAAAGCUGAAACUUAAAGGAAUUGACGGAAGGGCACCACCAGGAGUGGAGCCUGCGGCUUAAUUCGACUCAACACGGGAAAACUCACCCGGCCCGGACACUGUGAGGAUUGACAGAUUGAUAGCUCUUUCUUGAUUCGGUGGUUGGUGGUGCAUGGCCGUUCUUAGUUGGUGGAGCGAUUUGUCUGGUUAAUUCCGAUAACGAACGAGACUCUAACGAACGGGACUCUGGCCUGCUAAAUAGUAUGCCUGUCCGUUGCGUUGUCCAUUGCCUCCUCGUGGGGUAGUGGUUACGUUGACCGGCGGGUGCGGCGCAGGUACUUACUUCUUAGAGGGACAAGCGGUAUUCAGUCGCACGAAAUUGAGCAAUAACAGGUCUGUGAUGCCCUUAGAUGUCCGGGGCCGCACGUGCGCUACAAUGACGG
rnacentral:rRNA from 1 species